rnacentral:rRNA from 1 species
UACGUAGGGGGCAAGCGUUGUCCGGAAUCAUUGGGCGUAAAGCGCGUGUAGGCGGUUCGGUAAGUCGGCUGUGAAAAUCCAGGGCUCAACCCUGGGAUGCCGGUCGAUACUGCCGGACUAGAGUUCGGAAGAGGCGAGUGGAAUUCCCGGUGUAGCGGUGAAAUGCGCAGAUAUCGGGAGGAACACCAAUGGCGAAGGCAGCUCGCUGGGACGCAACUGACGCUGAGACGCGAAAGCGUGGGGAGCAAACAGG